rnacentral:tRNA from 1 species
CCUUCGAUAGCUCAGUUGGUAGAGCGGAGGACUGUAGAGGUGAAAGCUGACAUCCUUAGGUCGCUGGUUCGAAUCCGGCUCGAAGGA